AAUAUCCAGCAAUGGGCGAAAGCCUGACGGAGCAAUACCGCGUGAGGGAGGAAGGUUCUAGGGUUGUAAACCUCGUGUAUCAAGGACGAUCACACGGUCGGUACAGAAUAAAUAAGCAUCGGCUAACUCCGCGCCAGCAGCGGUGGUAAUACGGGUGAGACAAUUGUUCGGAAUCAUUGGGUUUAAAAAGUCUCGCAGGUGGUUUUGCAAGUGGGGUGAUAUGGAGCGGAUCUCAAGUAGCAAGGGCAGGAUAAUGGUCGUCUUGAAUCACGGUGGAGUUAGAGGGAUAUGUAGGGUAGCGGUGAAAUGCAUUGAUAUUCCAUAGAACCCCCAUCGCGAAGGCAGGUCACUAACCAUGUACUGACGCUGAUGGACGAAAGCGUGGGGAGCGAACAGGAUUAGAUACCCCGGUAGUCCACGCCGUA
rnacentral:rRNA from 1 species